UUGGAGGCCAUGACUCCAAUGUCAAGUGUUCGCUCCAUAUGGGGAAGUCGUCCAUGUCAAGAUCCCUGUUUGGAAGAGAUGUGGCUAAAUUACUCCUGUCACUGCAUAUUCAGGCCUUCUGCUGAGCAAGCUCUGCAACUGCUGCAUGGGACCUUUUUUGGUGGUCAGAAUGUGAGCCUUUCAUGGGGAAGAAGCCCUUUGAACAAACAAACUCAGGUUAAUUCUUGCGUACCGAACUUCUAUCAUGUCUUGAAUUGUAUAUAUACUAGCGGUAAAGUGGGUAAUAUAUAACAUGUGAACAUUUUCGGCCUCAGGAAGCCAGCCAGUUGUAUGUCGAGUUCUCCACUAUAAAAUUGUUUGUGCUUUGCCUGUUUUCGCCUCUUUCUUUGAUAUAUAACAAUGCCUAGAACAUAAACGAUGUGUUUCUGUAUUUACUUUCCCUUUAGGAUGGUGGAAAUUCAUAUUAUAUUCAAAAGCACUUCAUGUAUGUAGUCAAAUGCUUCAGAAACAGUAGUAUGCUACUUCACUUUUAUCUUCCUGGGGGUUCAUAUUCAUUUGUAUUAACUAAAGAAGCUUGUGAUAUUAUUUUCAUUACCACAGUGCAAAUCAAAACAAAAAAAUACACAUGCUUGCCCUUUGUAAAGAACCACUAUUACUGUAUAUGUUAUACUUUGUAUUGAAUCAUAUGUAUAUUAUGCUUGCCUCUAAAAUGUUGUUUUAUGUUGAACCACUAUUUCUAUAUCAUGCUUUGAUCUGAUUUUUAGUGCUUAAAUCAAGUAUUUAUGGAGACUAUGCCCUUAUGCGAGUCUUUCGGCCUUGCUGGGUUGUUUUAUUGUUGUGAAGGCAUCGUCAUGGGUGAUUGUAGUUACAUUGCCUCGUUCACACUUACAUCCACCAUCAAUCAGCUCCAUGGAGAAAUGAAACCUGUCAUCAUUUUGUCCGACUAAGAAUGGAGUUACUUGUGCAAGUUACACCAUCCGCAAACACAUGAAAACCUGCAUGCUAUCAUCGCAAGUUGAGCAUUUACAUGCUCCAAGUCAAUCUGUUAGGGAGAAAACAAAGGCUUGUGUUCCUAUUCGUAAUUUUUUGUUUUAUCAGUGGGCACCUUAUCUAUCUGUAACAUGUGGCCUGUGCAACUGCAAAAGUAUUGGGCAAUAAAAAUUCUGUGUAACACAUGUUCUUAUACA